rnacentral:pre_miRNA from 7 species
UGUUUGAGCGUAUGCUGGCAUCUAAAAUGCAGUAGAUGUAUAUGUAGGACCCCAAGAAGGAGCCCUCCCACUCAAGUCUUGGGAUGUGGGGUCACCCAAAGAAACACAAGGGACC